UAAUACGUAGGGUCCAAGCGUUAUCCGGAAUCACUGGGCGUAAAGCGUGCGUAGGUGGCGCGUUAAGUGUGAUGUUAAAUCGUGGGGCUCAACCCUAUCGAUGCAUCGCAUACUGGCGUGCUAGAGGACAGCAGAGGCAAGUGGAAUUUGUAGUGUAGCAGUGAAAUGCGUAGAUAUUACAAGGAACACCAAUGGCGAAGGCAGCUUGCUGGGCUACUCCUGACACUGAGGUACGAAAGCGUGGGGAGCGAACAGGAUUAGAUACCCUGGUAGUCCACGCCGUAAACGAUGCAUACUAGACGUAUGGGGUAUCGACCCCCUGUGCGUCGAAGCUAACGCGAUAAGUAUGCCGCCUGGGAAGUACGGCCGCAAGGCUA
rnacentral:rRNA from 1 species